UCCUGGUAACUCAGACAGUAAAGAAUCUGCCUGCAAUGCAGGAGACCUGGGUUCAAUCCCUGGAUCAGGAA
rnacentral:tRNA from 1 species